AGGAGUCUGACACGCAUGGCCCCUGACCUCAGGACGUCCUUGGAAUCAGCACGGCUGGGGAUUCCUCCAGCUCAGAGGGAGACCUGUGCAGUCCAGGCUCCCAUUCACUGGUGGCAUCAUCUUUCCUGCAUUCUUUCACCUUGCUGUCCAGUGUUCCUAUCGAAAUAAAACAGAGGUGUCACCCAGCUCGUGGGAGCCUCGGGAAUAGGCAGAGAGGGGCACCGGCAGAGUUCCUGCUCGGGUCCCCCGCACAUACGGCAGGCACUCAAUGAGCAUCCGCUGUCACACAACUGCCAAAGAACGCUCUGUGUAAGCGGCGCGUGCCAGGUAGUGUUCAAUAAGGAGAAGCCGAUAUUGGCAGCCCAGCCUGGCAGGCACCACCAAUUUCAGCUGUCAGCGGGUAAUAAGAAUCCAGCAGUGGACCAGUAUUGAGAGACAGGUGCCAUUCCCAACAGAAGCGGACAGCCAAAGGCACCACAGCUGUCCGCUGUUCCCCGAACACGGAACGUGGGCUCCAGAGGUCAACAGCCAGCAGCUUCUGUCCCUUGUCACUUUCCCCUCGGUGCUGGUGUUGCUCAAUGGAGGAGUCAUGGCACUCCCUAUCACCCACUGUCCUCUGUAGCCAUGGAACCUGGGGAUUCACUUGGGCCCACACUAUCUCAGUGCCUCGAUUCUCUAGCCAAUGAACCAUCAUGGAGGUGAGCAGCUUUGUCGACCAAACCCUCCCACCAUGAUGCACUGCCUUGCCGCAAUCCCCGAUCAAUAGAGCCACCCAAUCAUGGACAGAACCUCCAUGCUGUGAGUCUAACAAAUCCUUUCUCAAAGUUCAUUAUCUCAGUUAUCUCUUCUAGCGAUGCCAAGUUGACUGCACGAUCUCAACCUCACAAAUUUCUACACAAGAGAAGGCUCCCAGACCACAAACCAUUUCUACAGUGUGGGUAUGAAGUAUCAGUGUGGCUCCCCACACUUCUGAGUAUCAGUUAGUUGAGAGUCUGUGUGAACCGAGUUGGUUAUCAGAGCCAUGGCAGGUUGGUAGAGGGCACUGGAUAGGAAGGGGGAUAGGGUGAGGAUGGGCUGAACGGUACUCUCUGCAACUCUGAAUUUGUUGAUUUGGCUAGGAAGAAAGAGGAGAAAAAAAGCCAGAGGUGAGACCCCCCCAGCCUUCUACUUUAUUACCUCCUUAUGUAACCUGCCUCUAAGCUCUUCAAUGCUGAAUCCUCAUCAUCCUACCAUGAGGCUGUUGUAAUCAAAGGAGGUGCUCUGUGAAAAGAGGAAGAUACCCCACUCUCUUGUGAACUCUGUCCUGUGCCAGGAUUCAUAGAGUUGUUCUGUGCAUUCAUUUAAAAGGAAAAGAUCUUAGGAUCUACCACGUGUAGAAAGCACACUUGUAUCACAUUGGCUUUUGAAGUUUACUCUGUCAAAGUUUUAGACAUGUAAACAUUAAAAUAAAUAUUAUCAUUGUUGUUG